ACUUUGUAUCAGUUUUCUUACUUAAUUCUUAGAACCGCCCAGUGGGGUAGGCACUAUUAUCUCCUUUUCACAGAUGAGGAACUGGGACUGAUAGAAAUUCAGGACUUGCCGCAGGGUACACUGCUGGGGCGGCAGGCCAGGGAUUGGCACCAGGCCUUCUGUGUACCAGUGUACAAACAGGGGCACCACUUUCUUUCUUUAUUUUUGGCUGCGUUGGGUUUUCAUUGCUGCAUGGGCUUUCUCUAGUUGUGAGCAGAGGCCACUCCCGGUUGUGGUGUGAGGGCUUCUCAUUGCAGGGACUUCUCUUGUGGAGCGCGGGCUCUCGGGCAUGUGGAUUUCUGUAGUUGUGGCGCACAGGCUUAUGUGCCCUCCAGCAUGUGGGAUCGUCCUGGACCAGGGAUCGAAACAGUGUUGGCAGGAGGCGUCUCAACCACUGGACCACCAGGAAGUCUAGGGGCACCCCUUUCUAAUGGGCACAAAGGUGUCAUACAGGCUGUUGGAUACCCCAAGUGAACCUGCCCAAAAGACUUGGGAGUCAGACCACUGACUCUUCAUCUCGCUUCCCAGGAGUCAACGUGGGCUUUUCCCAGAGCACAGUCUGCAUUCCCAGUUGUAGACUUUUCUGGAUCCUUCAUUGAAUGGCACAGGAUGUGACAAUAGCAAGCUUGUCUGCAUGGAUUCAUCUUUGCAUCCUCCUGUCUCUUCCUCCAAGGAGUUGCUUAGUGAAGUCUUGUUGCAGGUAUAGCCAAGGGCCACAUGAAGAAUCACAUGUCACCAGCAAGAACCUGAAGAAAAACAGAAAAUUAAGUCCUGCUGCCCUAACACCUACUCCCUGGUUUGACAUCCAGGGACCUUGCCAUGGAAAUGCUCAUGGGUUGGAGUGGAGAGGUACAGAAUGGUCUGCUGUGAUGUACGAAAUCCUUGGUUUUGGGGGCGUUAAGAGAGUCAAACCCUGAUGCUGGAGAAGUUGAUGGGCAGCACAGAACAGGAGGAAGGUUCUAUCGGAGAAGAGAAGGUGGAUCACCAUGACAACUCCUGAGUAAGUAGGGGUCACUGUGGGUAGACAGAUUCCACUCACAGGCUUCGUGAUUGUCUCGAAAGCUGGAGUUAGAUCUCACUUUCAACUGGAUGGAUCAAAAGGACAAUGAGAAUUCUAGCAACAGGUAGAGGGAAGGAAGAGGAAGAGCACUGUGAUGGUUGUUGCCCUUGAGGGCACUGCGCUAAGUGAAAUAAGUCAGACAGAAGAAGAUCACUACCAUAUGAUCUUGCUUGUAUGUGGAAUCUGAAAAAGCCAAACUCACGGGAAACAGAGGACAGGUUGGUGGUUGCCAGCCUUGGGGGUGAGGGGUGGGAGAAAUGAAUGAAGGUGGUCAGAAGUUACAGACUUCCAGUUACAAGAUAAAUAAAUCCUGGAGAUGUUGUAUACA
rnacentral:lncRNA from 1 species